UUUUAAUAUACAUUUCUAGUAUAUUUUAUUUAUUUAUUUUUUGCAAAACAAUAAAAAGUGUUUCAGUAACAGAACUACUUAUAGUUGUAUUGGUUAAAAACAUAACUGCAGAAGUUAAAAAAAUGAAUAUUUUUCUGAUUAAAGGAAAAGUGAGUUCAUGUGCUCUGUCUGCAUGUACGAUUCCUGGUGUACCAUAUCAUACCAUAUCAUACCAUAUCAUACCAUAUCAUACCAUAUCAUACCAUAUCAUACCAUAAAGUAUAAUUGAAGCAAAUUAUAACAAAUAAAACAUUUUCCUUUUAAAAAUUUUUUUUUUUUCAUUACAGCCAUUUUACCACAGUUAUUUUGUUCAAUUCUCUUUGAAUACAUAAGUAAAUACCUGGUAACUAGGGAACCGUACUAAAAAGAGACAUAUUUCUAAGUGAUAGUGAGAACCAGAGAUUUUACCACCCGACGGAUAGUUUAGUCCAUAGUGUGAGUCUCUCUCUCUGGCUGUUGUUGCGUCCUCGAAGUCCUGUUCCUUCUUGCUUUUCUAAGAUGUAGUUUCCUUCUCUCUCUGUUUCUUGUUUGGAGCAGUAGGCUUAUUGUCCCAAUGCAGGCUGUGCUGUACCACAGUCAGUGGCAGCAUCAAUCCAUCCAUAAACAUAUUCUUUCAAUCAAUUCAUCCAUCCAUGUCUUCUUUUUUUAUAUUUUUCAUAUCAACAACCUAUUUUUUUCCACAAUUAUUAAAAAAAUUCCCCUUUAAUCUACACAAAAUAAGAAGCAUGAAAAGACCAUGGUAAAUACCAUGAAAAGGCCAGCGUACGGUGUUAUUUGAAUAUUCCAUAAUGUUCUGUGUAGGCUUGCAAAAUUCUAGUAGGGCGAUUCCAUGCCAAGAUUUUUGUUAUCUCAGAUUCUUCUGCCAAUUCUCAAAUAGAAACAUCAUUGGGAGAACGGAUGCUUCACAUGCUUUUCACAUUUGUAUCACAAUUUAUUUUUAAAUAGCGAUGAAAUAGGUCAUUAUAGGCCAUUAAAAAAUAUAUACAUGUCUGUAAUCUGUGAACCUUACAUGGUCUUUGUGUCAUUAUACUCCUUGUGUGCUCUAAAACAUACAAAAAUACAUGUUAAUAUCUCAAAAGUUUAUAUAUUUUUAUUAAAAUUAUUUUUAGCCAUAUAGUUAGGAACAAUAUACUUUUCAAACACGUGACAUUUCCAGAGUGGCUCUCUGGUACUUUUGAAGAUAUGACCCAUUUUAUAUAUAGAAUUUGACAUCAUAGGUCAUUAACCAAUCACAGCCCUCCUUUAGGAUUGCACAUUCAGCAAAUCACCAGCAGAAUACAUUUUCCCAUUCACUGUGUUGUUGAUGCUCAUAAAAUAUAGCAGAACUUAAACAUUUGCAGAGAGCCCACUCUGGAAAUGUGAUUAUAUUGUCCCAAACAAUAUGUCUUAAAAUAAACAAAAUCUAAAAGGAUAUUCAUAUGUUUAAUGUUGAAUAAAUGAAUGUGACAAAUUGUAUUUCAGAAUCUAGACAACCUCUAUAUGCUACAGCACACUAUGAGGAGUAUGAUGACACCAAGGUGUUGUCUGUAUCGAGUGCGUUUCACAGGUCACAGGUCACAGGUCAUAGGGUCUUACAGGAGGCAUGAAGGUCUAAAAAGUUAUUCAAAUGAUAAAAGCAUGUCAAACAUCCUUCCUCCAAUUAAGUUUUUAUUUGAGAAUUGCAAGAACAAUCUGAGAAGCCCAAAAUAUUUUUGGUCUAUCCUGGCGUGAAAUCUCCCAGUAACUCCCUAAAUUCCCAGCAUUUCUGGAAAUCCUGGUAGGAAGAUUCCUGGGAUCAGAAGAAAUUUGUGAAUCCUCCGAUCAGUAUUUCUAGAAAACCUGAGAUGAUUGGGAAUGUUAAAAUUAUUUUGCAAACUCUGUGUUUUCAGAAAAUACCUGAUCUAGCUCAGUCAUGAUUAUGAGCAGAAUGGCAAAUUGUUUUCUAUAUACACUCUGGACAGACGGAGUUUUCUAUUUCAGAGGCUCCUGAACUUACAACCUUUUUUCCACAUGCUGUGUGGCAAAUUUUCUCUUACCCCUUUUUCUCACAAUCAUUCAUUCAUCACAUCUUGAAGCUAGCUCUACUCUAAUGGCCGCAUCCUCUCGAAGAUUUACAAAACUAUUCAAAGCACCACACUGCAAGCACUACUGCCAUCUGUACGAAGUCAUGCCAUCAUUUUUACUAUGUUCCUCUGCUAUCGUCACAAUGAUAAAUUGAUUGCUGUAAAAUAUACAUGUGGUUGUUUUAUUUAUAGGAUAUAAGAAUUGAAUAGUGUCUUGGAGGAUCCUGUCGCAUCGUGUGUGAUAAACGAGUACAAUAUGGCAGGGCAGUAAACACCAGCACCCCUGUAUCAAAAAUCUGUAGUAACCAUCUCAAAAACAGGAAAUAAAAUUAUUAGAAAAAUAUCAUCGAGUUAUCUGUCAUAAAUUCUGAGAUUCUUUGGGGCUCUCAGGGCAGGUAUAACAGACAGAGAAGGUGCUACUGUAUGUUAGGGCUAGCUAGUGAGUUUGUGAGUUAACAGAACAGGCUACAGGGGGUGGGGGAGGGGGUAGGUGGGUAGCAGGAACGAUAUUGGGCCAAAGAAAGGUUCAAUGUUUGUGCUAGGAAGCAAGCUGAGAGGUCUGGAGGGUGUUUGCUAGAACAUGGUGGGAUAUGUGGAAAACUGGGGUAGGACUGGGGGAGACUUGGGAGAGAGACUGGGGGAGACUUGGCAGAGAGACUGGGAGAGAGACUGGGGGAGACUUGGGAGAGAGACUGGGGAGACUUGGGAGAGAGACUGGGGGAGACUUGGGAGAGAGACUGGGGAGACUUGGCAGAGAGACUGGGAGAGAGACUGGGG
ensembl:lncRNA